UGGACUCUCAAUGACAUAUGAUGUCACUUUCUGCUUUUCUAUGUGUUUUUUGCAUUUUUCUCAGCAAAGUUUGUGUCUUUUAAAACAGCUAUAUUUGCAAUAAAGUGGGUCUGGGUUGGAUUUUGCCUCAUCCCGCACUUAGAAUGUAGUACUGACCUGAUAAGUCCAAAAGCGAAAGAGAUGAUACUGUGACGAUUGGCUGGCAUCGUGGUGCGGUGCGUUCUCUCAUGAUGCAGUUUGGGCUCGGACACAGCGUAAGGACCACAGCAAACCUUAGCCAGUUUGCAAAGAAUGAAUGAUGAAUGCUGCUGCUGGUUGUCGCCACAAGUUGGAUAGUGCGUACCACGGGGCACUGAGAUUCAUCACCAACUGCGCUCCCCUUACUCACCAUUGUGUGUUAUACUCAAUGGUUAACUGGACGUCUUUAUGUGCCCGACGCCUCAAUUAUUGUAAGAACUGAACUGGGCAAGAAAGUAUUGAGGUUUUCAGCACCGAAGCCUUGGAAUAACCUACAAUCGAAUCUUCAACUUCAAACCCUUCUUACAUUAAAUGAGUUUAAAGCUUAUGUGAAAAGAUUGCAGUCUACCUUGUAUGUAUGUACAUGUGUUAUGUGAGCAAGUUUAAAUGUCGUAAAUUUGAUGUUUUAUGUGUUGUAUACUGUUUUUAAUGCAACCUUGCUGCUGCCCUCUUGGCCAGG